rnacentral:rRNA from 1 species
GACGAACGCUGGCGGCGUGGAUUAGGCAUGCAAGUCGAACGGUAUCAUCCUUUCGGGGGUGAGAGAGUGGCGAACUGGUGAGUAACACGUAGGUUAUCUACCCUCAAGACGGGGACAACCCAGGGAAACUUGGGCUAAUACCGGAUGUGAGCAACUUUUAGUUGUUUGAAAGGUGGCGUAAGCUGUCGCUUGGGGAUGAGCCUGCGUCCUAUUAGUUAGUUGGUGAGGUAACGGCUCACCUAGGCAAUGAUAGGUAGGCGGCCUUAACGGGUGGUCGCCCACACUGGGAUUGAGAUACGGCCCAGACUCCUACGGGAGGCAGCAGUCGAGAAUAGUCUACAAUGGUCGGAAGACUGAUAGUGCGACGCCGCGUGAACGAUGAAUCCCUUCGGGUCGUAAAGUUCUUUUAUAUGUGAGCAGUGCUUCUUAUAUUAACAGUAUGGGGAGAGAGAUAUUAGCAUAUGAAUAAGCAACGGCUAACUCCGUGCCAGCAGCCGCGGUAAUA